GUCCACGGCCACAGCACCCUGAAUGCACCUGAUCUCUGAUCUCAAAAGCUGAGAAGGGUUGGGCCUGGUUACUACUUGGAUGGGAGAAUGUCUCACAGGGCGGCCUGUACC
rnacentral:rRNA from 1 species